rnacentral:misc_RNA from 1 species
GAUGAAGAACGCAGCAAAAUGCGAUAAGUAAUGUGAAUUGCAGAAUUCAGUGAAUCAUCGAAUCUUUGAACGCACAUUGCGCCCGCCAGUAUUCUGGCGGGCAUGCCUGUUCGAGCGUCAUUUCAACCCUCAAGCACAGCUUGGUGUUGGGACUCGCGUUAAUUCGCGUUCCUCAAAUUGAUUGGCGGUCACGUCGAGCUUCCAUAGCGUAGUAGUAAAACCCUCGUUACUGGUAAUCGUCGCGGCCACGCCGUUAAACCCCAACUUCUGAAUGUUGGCCUCGGAUCAGGUAGGAAUACCCGCUGAACUUAAGCAUAUCAAUAAGCGGAGGA